rnacentral:lncRNA from 1 species
UCGGAUGCACUACAUGCAUGCCUCGUGUUUCACGGGCAUGCGUGUGUCUAUGUACCAUAUAAGGGGUGGAAGACAAGAAGAGAGAGGCAAAUAUGAAGUUUUCUUGAGCAAUCUAGACUGGCUUAAGGCAAUAGUAAUUGAAACAACUUUCAAAUUAUGAUUUCAUUCUAUGGUUAUUUUGUUAAUGAAUUUCUAGACUGGUUCCCAAAUUUUUGUAAAUGUAGGUCUAUUUAAAAUUUCACAUGAGAACCCAUGGAUACGCAAUCAUAUUUUUAUCCCAAAAAUAAAUUGUAAAUAAGUUGUAUGUAAAAGUAAACACAUAAGUAAUUUCUUGG